rnacentral:rRNA from 1 species
UACGAAGGGGGCUAGCGUUGCUCGGAAUCACUGGGCGUAAAGGGCGCGUAGGCGGCCUGUUAAGUCGAACGUGAAAUCCCCGGGCUCAACCCGGGAACUGCGUCCGAUACUGGCAGGCUUGAAUCCGGGAGAGGGAUGCGGAAUUCCAGGUGUAGCGGUGAAAUGCGUAGAUAUCUGGAGGAACACCGGUGGCGAAGGCGGCAUCCUGGACCGGUAUUGGACGCUGAGGCGCGAAAGCCAGGGG